UGCAUCGGAUGGCCUUUGGCCAACACUCCCCGACUGUGGUCUAUUUACUCCAAUCUUUUUCGCAGGGAUAGAGGAAGAGGAGAGAGAAGGAAUCUGAAAGGGUGAAAAAUCAACCCACGAAUAUUCCCCCGUGUGGAUAUUUACUCGAAUAGUAUGUGUUUGGUAUGAGACUUGUUUCAGUUUUUUAUUUUGAUGAUUUUGGGCAAUGGGUGGGCAAGUUCAAUCCCACUAGAAUGUUGGUUGAGAUUUUCAAUUUCUGUAAAAGUUUUAUUUUGAUGUUCUAUGUCAGAUUGUCAAAGCUUUCAAAAGGAUUGUGGCUAAUACUCAUUCUGUGGUGGGAAGGAUGGUGGUGAUGCCAGUGCAGUAGAAAAAUGGUGGCUGAUGGUGGUCUUGCAAUUGUGGUUGGGUGGGGAUGGGGGUCAGGC
rnacentral:lncRNA from 1 species